rnacentral:rRNA from 1 species
GACGAACGCUGGCGGCGUGCCUAAUACAUGCAAGUAGAACGCAGUUUCGAACGGGUGAGUAACGCGUAGGUAACUGCCUCAUAGCGGGGGAUAACUAUUCGAAACGAUAGCUAAUUACGCAUACUGUGAGAUGGACCUGCGUUGUAUUAGCUAGUUGGUGAGGUAAAUGGUCAACAAGGCGAAGAUACAUAGCCGACCUGGGAGGGUUAUCGGCCACACUGGGACUGAGACACGGCCCAGACUCCUACGGGAGGUAGCAAUAGGGAAUCUUCGGCAAUGGACGGAAGUCUUAACGAUGAACGCCGCGGGAGGGAAGAAGGUUCUCGGAUCGGAAAGCUCUGUUGUUAGAGAAGCGUUAACUAACCAGAAAGGGACGGCUAACUACGUGCCAGCAGCCGCGGUAAUAC